AUGUAUGUAUCAGUUAAAGUGCUCAGUCUGAAGGUACAAUUUAACCUCACUUAUCAGGAGUCUCAGCCGGGACACUCCUGGCACAGGGCACCUGAGACCUGCAGGAGUUUCGCCACCCUGGGGUCCCCGCUGCCCUCUCGUCCUCACAAAGCGGAUCAGCCCGAGGACUCUGCUUUCCCUUCCCCGCCGUGCCACGUCCCCCAUCACCACCACCAGCACCCCUCUCCCCCUGCCACGGCUCUUGCCGCUCCCCGACACCCCGGGUUACCCACACCCCGAGCGGAGCUGCUGGUGGUGGUGGUGGUGGUGGUGGUGGUGGUGGUGCUGCUGGUGUCGCAGCGCGUCCCUUCGCUUCCCCACGGACGGGCUCGCCUUCUUCUCUUCCUCCUCCUCCUCACGCCCCGCCGCUCUCUCCGGCCGGGGGAUUUCUUCCCGAGAUUUUUAUACCGGAGGCAGGGAACCUGAUCCUCCGCGCUUUGACUCGACAGAGCCCGGGCUGCGGCGAGCCGGCGAGAGGAGGGAGGCGAGGCGGGCGCCGGGGCAGAGCGAGCGGCCGCGCUGCCCCCUCGUGUGAUGCGGCGGGGGCGCCGCCGGGAGGGUCACCCGCGGGGCAGCCUCGCCCCCGCCGCCGGGGGAGGGAUGGAGGGAGGGGGCCGGGGGCGGGACGGGGCCGCUCCGCCCGAGGAUGGGGCUCCGGGGGGCUCCCGGGGUGCCCCCCGCCGCCGGGGGGGCUGGAGGGGCGCGGGGCCCCCGUCUGAGCCGGUGCCGGGCUUUGCAGGGCGGUCCCCCCCCCCCCCCCCCCCCGCGACAACUUUUGUCGGGGUGUUUCAACGCUUCUGGUUGUGGUGCUUUGCUGGAGUUGUGUCAAGGCUCUUAUUUAGGCUUUUCCAGCUUUUGGGUUCAUUACAUCCAUUGAAAAAGAAUGUUCCCCAAGCCACAGCUUAAUUUAAAACGAAGUGGACUUGUUCCAAAGUCCAGGCAAUUUCUGCCUAAUUCCUGAUCCCCAGAGCAAGUCUCCGUCUUGAUUGGAAAGACUGAGCCCAUUGACUGCUUGGGUCUCGGCUGGGGUUGCAGCUUGUGGCUCCUGCUCCAGGUUUGCACAGAAAUCCAGUUCAGAUUCUUCUCCUGUUUCCAGAGGAAUGAGCUAAAAAAGUAAUUUGUCUGGCACCGUACACAUUGCAUCAUCUAACACCUACCAUCUGUGACAAUGGAAAGCACUGUGCGGCUAGUCCCAGCGUGGGCAAUUGCACCCACCUGGAGUCUUUCUUCGUAAAGUAAACUACUCCCUUCCAUCCACACCUUGGCAUCUUCUUUUCAUCACAGAGUUAUGUGUUUAGUCCUGGCAUGGCUGUUAAGGAUUUGCACGACGGGCAGAUUUAAUGACAGUGAUGUAAGUUAAAACAACAACUUUGGUUUGCAGUAUAAAGCGGUGGCUUGAGACGGAGAGAAUAUUCUUUCUAGCAGCCAGCUGAGUGGAAAUGAGCACUCUAUAGUACACUUUGUCUUCAUGUUUCAGCGUGUGUGAAGCUGAACGAAUCCUUGACAGCUACCUUGCACCUUCCUGGGGGCUUCUUAAUGAAAUCCUGGCAUGCUAAGCACUAUGUACAUCUAGAGAAAGACGCUUCCCAUCAAGAAGCACCUGGUGGUGGCUGACACUUUAAGCCUUCAGUGGGUCUCCAUCCAACCACAAUAGCACAUUUCAGAUGGUCAACCGUGUCUGAGUAGCAACAAGAAAGUAGGGAAGAAGACAAAGUCUGACCUGAAAAUUCACCUUGAUUAAGACCAAAGCAUUGCACCAAAGUGAGUCAAGAGAUUUCUUCACAGAAAUCAUCUUACAGAAAUCUGAGUCUUAGUUAAAGACUGAAAUUUUCAUUUUCCACUUCUCAACAAACAAUAGAAACUUUCUGCAGAAAGCAAACAUUUUUCACGUGAAAUGCGUAUGAUCUCAGAAGCAUAAUUUGUCCAUUGAAUUUUAGAAGCAUUAGCAAUCUUUGGCCAAACCUGCUUGCAGCUUUUCUCCAUGCCUAGUUUUCCAUAGCUCAGAAAUUAAUUUUCUGAUGCUAAGUUUACAUGCACUGAAAUUAGUUUUGUGUGAUACGGCUUGGCUCUUGAUUCAAAGGCUAUACUAAAACUGCAGAUGAGAUUAACACAGCUGCUCAGGAAACAAAUGGUCUGAGGCACCUAAGAAUGAAAAUGAAAGUAUCUUGGUCUUUGAUCAACACAGUAAAAUGUCUUUUAAUAUUAGUAUUAUUUCUGUCUCAAUAGCACCUUGAGGCUUAACCAAAGUUUCCAAUGCAAUAAGCACUGUCCAGAUGUAGAAAGAUAUUCUUUACCCUAAACUGCCCAAUGUUUGAUGCCUUUGAAACUAAUGGAGUACAACACUUGAAUUUCGUACUGAACCUUUGCUAUUGAGAGAGAACUUGUGAAGACAAGGAGGUGAGACUGUUGGUCAAGACAACAGUCUUGGAAAGAUCGACGUAUCUUCUUUUGCCAAGAAAAAAACAUCGACUCUAUGUCGACUCACUGCCUCAAAGGUGCCUGUUCUGCUGGUUCCCAGUGGAAAAGAACAGGAGAGCAUGAAGGGACUGAUAGAAGACAAGUUAUGGCUAUUCAAUUGCCACAGGGAUAUUUUCCUUAUUGAAAGAACUGUGAAGUUGGAUAGGUUUACCUCAAGAAGUUCUCUGCUGUUUUGUCAUUCCUUUCUUUUUUUUUCUUUUUUUUUUUUUUUUCCAGCCAGGGCUUUUUCCUACAUGAUCUUUGAACAGCCUAAUCUAAGCUUCUUGUAAUGUACAGAAAAAUCCAUACAGAAAAUAAUUGUCUUUUAUUAUUAUUUUCCUGGUCUGGAUGCACAGAUAACCUAGAAAGGAGAACUGCUUGCAGACUGUAAGUGUCUUUAACAUCCUCAAUGUUUGUUUACAGCUGCUGGUUCAGAAACAGCGAAAAAUAAGUGAAGAAUGGAUUAGCAGCUGUGGAAGUCAAACAAGCACUUUCAUGUAUCCACUUUGCUUCCCAAAACUACAGCCUAAUGAGCUGAAUUUCCUUUGAAAAAGGAACGAUGAGGGCUAAGAGUAUAAGAAGUUAUAGAAGGACUUCUUAUUCAUGCCACAUGUAAGUGCUCUUGUAAGCAAUCCAAAAGUAUUGGAUCCCAAAUAUUUCUAUCUGUAAAUAUUCAAGGCUGUUUGGGGGAAAGAAGCUCACUCACAACAUGAGAUGUGAUUUGUGCCAAGAUUUAGAAAGAUCCUCAUAAUAAAUUUCCUCUUACUGAGUUUUUGUUGUUGUUG
rnacentral:lncRNA from 1 species